rnacentral:ncRNA from 1 species
UUGAUAAUUAAUUUUAAUAUUAUUUUUGGUGAAAUUAUGUUUUAUAUGUAUGUGGUUUUAGAAAAUAUCUUUUUGCAGUAAAUUUAUUUGAAAAUGUAGGAUACUAUGAUUUGGUAAAAAUAUUUAGCUCAAACGAAGUUUGUGCCAGCAGUAGCGGUUAUACAAACUAGGGCUACUAAAAAGAGGGGUGGUUUCAAUAAUAUUUAUUUUGGGGUUUAUAAUUUUAAUGUAAAGUGAAAUUUUAUUAUUAUUUAGUAUUUGUUAUUUUAUAUUUGGAAAGUUUAUUAUUUUAAACUAGGAUUAGAUACCCUAUUAUAUUAAAUGUAGUUUUUACUUGAUUAGUAUUAGUUUUGUUCUUGAAAAUUAAGAGAUUUGACAGUAUGUUAGUCUUUUCAGAGGAAUCUGUCCUAUAAUUGAUUUUACACGUUUAGGAAAACUUAAUUUAAGUUUACAUAUCGCCGUAGAACAGAAUUUUUUAUAAGAAUAAUAAUGUUCAAUAUAUUUUUUUUAUUAAAUCGCAGGUCAAGGCGUAGCUUAUAAUUGAGAAGAGAUGGAUUACAAUAAAUUUAUUUAUAUGGAUAAAUAUUUUUAAUUUUUUUUUAAAAGUGGAUUUGAAAGUAAUUUAAUUUAAAUUAUUUAAGUGAUUAAGCUCUAGCAUAUGUACAUAUUGUCCGUCACUUUCAUUAUAAGAUGAAAUAAGUCGUAACAAAGUAGAUGUACUGGAAAGUGUAUCUAGAAAGGC